AGAGUUUGAUCAUGGCUCAGAAUCAACGCUGGCGGCGUGCCUAACACAUGCAAGUCGAACGAGAAAGUGGAGCAAUCCAUGAGUAAAGUGGCGCACGGGUGAGUAACACGUGACUAACCUACCCUUGAGUGGGGGAUAACUGAGGGAAACCUUAGCUAAUACCGCAUAAUACCUACGGGUCAAAGGAGCAAUUCGCUCGAGGAGGGGGUCGCGGCCGAUUAGUUAGUUGGCGGGGUAACGGCCCACCAAGACGAUGAUCGGUAUCCGGCCUGAGAGGGCGCACGGACACACUGGAACUGAAACACGGUCCAGACUCCUACGGGAGGCAGCAGUGGGGAAUUUUGCGCAAUGGGGGAAACCCUGACGCAGCAACGCCGCGUGGAGGAUGAAGUCCUUCGGGACGUAAACUCCUUUCGAUCGGGACGAUUAUGACGGUACCGGAAGAAGAAGCCCCGGCUAACUUCGUGCCAGCAGCCGCGGUAAUACGAGGGGGGCGAGCGUUGUUCGGAAUUAUUGGGCGUAAAGGGUGCGUAGGCGGUUUGGUAAGUCUUGUGUGAAAUCUACAGGCUCAACUUGUAGUCUGCACGAGAAACUGCCGGGCUUGAGUAUGGGAGAGGUGAGUGGAAUUCCUGGUGUAGCGGUGAAAUGCGUAGAUAUCAGGAGGAACACCUGUGGCGAAAGCGGCUCACUGGACCAUAACUGACGCUGAUGCACGAAAGCUAGGGGAGCAAACAGGAUUAGAUACCCUAGUAGUCC
rnacentral:rRNA from 1 species